rnacentral:rRNA from 1 species
CGAACGCUGGCGGCGUGCCUAAUACAUGCAAGUCGAACGCACUCUCGUUUAGAUUGAAGGAGCUUGCUCCUGAUUGAUAACAUUUGAGUGAGUGGCGGACGGGUGAGUAACACGUGGGUAACCUGCCCUAAAGUGGGGGAUAACAUUUGGAAACAGAUGCUAAUACCGCAUAAAACCUAACACCGCAUGGUGUAGGGUUGAAAGAUGGUUUCGGCUAUCACUUUAGGAUGGACCCGCGGUGCAUUAGUUAGUUGGUGAGGUAAAGGCUCACCAAGACCGUGAUGCAUAGCCGACCUGAGAGGGUAAUCGGCCACACUGGGACUGAGACACGGCCCAGACUCCUACGGGAGGCAGCAGUAGGGAAUCUUCCACAAUGGACGAAAGUUUGAUGGAGCAACGCCGCGUGAGUGAAGAAGGUUUUCGGAUCGUAAAACUCUGUUGUUGGAGAAGAAUGUAUCUGAUAGUAACUGAUCAGGUAGUGACGGUAUCCAACCAGAAAGCCACGGCUAACUACGUG